rnacentral:lncRNA from 1 species
UUCUUAUUUUUUUAUUAUAAAUACCACUAAAUGAGAGAUGAGAGGAUUUACAUGCUGAAGGAAGGUCGAAAUGGAUUCUAUAAGGGAUUGCGAGAUCAUUCAACGUCAUUUUAUUUCUGCUCCUUAUGCAUUGUUACCCUAAUGGUUUAAGUUCUCUUUUGAUGGGAUUCAAUUUUCAUUCUAUCAUGACUUAUAUGUAAUAUUUGUG